rnacentral:lncRNA from 1 species
CUCAUUUUUCCCGGGCUUUCGGUCAGCGUUUACCUUUUCUCGCGGUAAGAAAGUCGUGACGCGAGCGUGCCCGCGCCUUGUCCUUUCUCUGUGGCACCUAUUAGGCUGGUGGGGGAGGGGAGAGGAAACAUGGCCUAGGUGUUGAGGCCUUAGAGCGGCAAGGGCUUUGUGAAGGACAAAAUGGCGAUGGCGGGCCGUGCCGACUGGCCUUUCUGUGAUGAGAACAUUUUCACAGACCUGUACUGAGCUCCGUGAGGAUAAGGAACUCUGAGGAGACCGGCCUGGCACAGCCGACGCCGCCUUAGCUUCGGAAAACGAAGCUUUGGCGAGAUAAUCCGAAGUCUGACCUAAGGUUCUUUUGUCUGCAGGGUUUGGGCGCGCAUCGAACUCUGAAGGGUCGGGAAGGCCUGUCGUUGGAGUAAGUGCUCGUGGCCUGGCUUUGCGCCCUUUGUUUCUGUGUUGUUGGACAUGUGCAGAGGUACAUCGGUGUGUGCUACAGGGAUGAUUUCAAGAAUUGAGCUCUCUCUUACUGAUGGAUUAGUGGAGAAAGUAAAAUUUCUGAGUAGCACCAUCCGCAGCCCAUGUUUCAUGUUUGGGUCUUUUUGUUUCGAGUUGCUAAGACACUGCGGGGGAGAGUUAGGCUGGGGGUAUAGUGAAGAAUGUUCUUCGGUAUUUUUCAGAUGUGGUUGAGUUCCAGGGAGUGUACAGGCUGGAGGAUGGGACAAGACCUAUCUCUGUAUCGAUCAAGCACGGCGUUGGUGUUCCAGGUGGGUAUACGAUGCUUUAUGCCAUUAUGGGUAUGAGCACAGCGCCUGGUUGGGACUUGCUCGUUCAGGUUGCACUGGCCACUCACUCCAUGAUGAACGGUAAAAUGACAAGCAUAUGCCUGAACUCAAAAAAGUGAUGUCAUCUUAACUACUGAGAAGUGGGCGGGGAGUACUCGAGGCUUUUUAAUGGUUGUUCUUAAGUACAUUAAAUGCCUCCCUUUUCUGUCUUCAGCUCAUCACCGAUCCUAAGGAAUUCAAGUGCCUCCCAGGAUGAAUACAGGUAAUUUUUCCAACUGGGGCAUUGGGGUGGCCUCUGUUGUUCCCCACAGAGCAAAUGGGCAGUGAAGCAGUGUUACCUUUUUGCUCCUUCAGUUUCUUCCUUUUGCAAUGAUAUUCCUGGGGAGGGAGACAGCAAGCAGCACAGUUGGUUCUGUGAGGGUGUUCUCUUCCUUCACACAUAUGUCACUGUCAGAUGAUUUGAAUUGACAAUGCUGAUCCUCUGUGAGGUCCAACACUUAAUAGCAUGUUAGAGUUCUGAUGGCAGUUUACAUGAAUGAAAAAGUGUUAUCUUGUGAUAGUAUUUUAAAAUAACCAUUUGCUGCUGUUCUACAGGUUGUCUUGAUGGUGAUACAUUCAUCUGUCUUAAGAUCCCUGCUGAUCUGCUCAUGGUCAAACUCAUGGAAAGAGUUGAGAGUGGUGAGUACUUGUAACCUUGGUUAUAACUUGUCUCCAGUGCCAGUGAGGAGAGCAAGCAUCCUGUCUUAACCCCUGUCCUAGCCCCAGAGCCAGUAAUGGUGAACCCACUGGGGCUAACAGGGAGAGAGGAUGAAAACAUGUUCCGUAAGGAACUGUCUGAGGUACAGCAACUGCCAAUGGGUAGCAUUUGUUUAGCUUCCCUUGGCUUACAUAUUAGCUGGGAUCCUUUUGGUUUUUUAAGGUACUCUACUGAUUUCAUGAUCUUCUCAUUCAGGGGCACCUUGUUCCUGCAUCCUCAAAGGAGCAUCUUGUUCCUCUAUUUAAGCUUCCAGAGUUAAAAGGUUAGUUGAUUAAUGUCACCAUAAUAUAUGCCACCAAGUAAGCAGUUUCUGUGAUGAAUCAAACUAGCUCACUAUGAACUAACAAUGAAAAGAUAUGAACACCUGAGAAACUGGAGAACAGAGCAGUGGGAUACUGUCUGCUAGGAACUUAAUAUCACUUACAGUUUUGUCCUUUCCUAGGUACCUGUACCAUUUAGCGGCUUGUUCACUCAAAGGUGAGUGAUUUAUAUGUUGGCACAUACAGUGUACUGAGGGAGAAAAUGCCUUUUUAGGCAUCUACACAUGAUGACUUACAUGGAAUCUCGUUCGGCUGAUGAUUUGCUGUUGAGACUCGGAAAUCUGAUUUUUUUUUUCUUUUAAGAACUUAAGUGGGAACAAAUUUUAAUGUAGGAAGUAAGCAUUACUGACUCAUUCUUGUUUUGUUUUAGAUCCAUCUUUUCUGGAGCCUGAGGAUGAUUGGAGGUAAAUCUGUUUAUCUAUGGCUGCUAUGUAAAGUUUGCCAGUUUUUGUGUGGCACUUUGGAUAGUUGUGCAGGUAUUACUUAAUCCAAAGUCUGCCUUUGGCCAUUUGUGAACCACCUGAAACAGAUUUCUGCUCACAUGAUGAGUUUGAUACCGCCCCAGUCUGAUCACUAUGACUGAAAGGUAUUUUCUGAGCUGUGAGUUUGCCUUAGAGUGGGAAGUUAGUCUUUUUAUAAAAUGUCUGUUGAGACCUACACAGCCUAUUAGGGUGUCCCAUUCCUUUGGUAAUGUGUUGACUUAGUUCCCAAUCUCUGUUUUGCAGGUGAAAGGUGUAAGCCAUACUCUGCUCAACUCCAGUCUGAAACUAAGGUUAGUAAAUUUAAAUGCAUUGAGGAUGGAGUUAAAAUUUCCCUAUGAAGAAACAUUCACACGUCUUACCUCCUGUCCUAGUCCCAGAGCCUGUAAAGGUGAACCCACUGGGGCUGGCUGGGGGAAAAGAGGAAGGCUUGUUCCAGAAGGAACUGUCUGAGGGAAUCUUAAGAAUUUCUAAAUUUGGGGAAGGGAUAAAUUAUUCACUGAAAAAUUAAUGAGUUUUUUGGUUUGUUUGUUUUUUUCCAGGUUUAAAGAAAGAACACGUACUUAACACACGGGUAAGUAAGUAUCCAUUCACGUACUUGUGUUAAAUAUCAGACUAACUAUAUAAAUACAAAAGUACAUUAGAGCAGCGCUUUUAGUGUUAACUGGUUGAAAGGAUAGUAUGUUCUAAGUCCGUUUUAGUAACUAAGUCCGUUUUAGUAAGAACCCUAAACUGUUCUUUUUCUCUGCAGGAAUCCAACUCUUGGAGGACAUCAGAAGUGGAAUUUUCUUAUACAACCUACCUAUUCAAAUUAGCAUAUAAUCUUUCUAGCCUUUCUAAAUAAAUAAAGGGAUUUUUUUGUAAACCUU